CAUCAAGAGUACCAAGUACUCUUCUGCGAAGCUCAUCGUCGCCUGCAUAAAUGUUGCCGUUGGAACUCCAAGCUGGGCUUUGUCAAUUGUGGGUGAUUUGUCAAUUGAUUCCAUGGCUGUUGUUGGUGUUGCUCUGCCUAUCUGCUUCAUCCAUAUCAGGUGGUCUUUGACAUGCAAGACCAGAUUCUCUCUAAUUCACCCAGAUGUGAAGACCUAAAUCCUUCCCUUUUGGUGGUUGAAGGUUGAGCUCAGCGAAGGAGCUAAUACCACUGUCCUAAAACCCAAAUCAAGUAUUAUUCCAAAUAAAUCAGGUUGGAUAUUGCAUCCCGCUUGCUGGUUCUCUUUAUCAACUAUCUGAUGUGAUACAAUAUCAUGCAAGACUUUUACAGGACUUGAUUUUAAAGAUGAAUGACAACAUCUUGUUUUCCUCUCUUCUUUAAGCCUAUCAUCUCCAACAUCAGCAAACUGUCAGAUUCCUUUAGAUAUGAUCCCAGCAUCUCAAUCUUUUCCAAUGAGGAAUCUGUUCAUUUAAAGAUUCAAAUUUAUUGUUAGUGUUGAGGGCAUCACUUUGUUUGCCUGAAGAUGAUGACAGUUCGAUCAUGAUGUCAAAAAUUGAUAGUUUAUUUACAAUGGCUAAAUUGGAUUGUUUUAGUACCAACAAUGAUGAAGAAAGAUUUAUGUGAAGCAUGCGGACAAAACUUCGUAUUGAUUACAAGAUAUCGAUUACAAGUGAAUUUAAGAGCGGGAAUCGAACCUCCGACCUCUUGCUUAAGGGACACAGCGCUGAACCACUAUGCCAACUUUGGUGGUUGGCCUUUUGGUUAAGAUCAAGUGAAAGAUAUAUCUUAUCUAUUUUCUUUAAAAAGGUGAAGAAAGAAAGACUUAUCAAGGACAAACAAGGGAACACCAAAAUCAGUCCACAAAAUGGAAGAAUUCUAUGAACUUUUUUGGAGACCAAGUCCCGGCUUCCCAAGAACACAAUAACAAGAAGAUAACAAGGUAUUUAUUACACCAAAUUAGCGGACAACAAACUAGAUUAACAACAUAAGAUGUUGAACAAGAAGACACAAAAUUCGGAUUUAACAAUAACAACAAGA